ACGGGAGGCAGCAGUGGGGAAUAUUGGACAAUGGGGGGAAACCCUGAUCCAGCGACGCCGCGUGAGUGAAGAAGUAUUUCGGUAUGUAAAGCUCUUUAGGCAGGAAAGAAAAUGACGGUACCUGCAGAAUAAGCCCCGGCUAACUACGUGCCAGCAGCCGCGGUAAUACGUAGGGGGCAAGCGUUAUCCGGAUUUACUGGGUGUAAAGGGAGCGUAGACGGCUGUGCAAGUCUGAAGUGAAAGCCCGCGGCUUAACUGCGGGACUGCUUUGGAAACUGUAUAGCUAGAGUGUCGGAGAGGUAAGUGGAAUUCCCAGUGUAGCGGUGAAAUGCGUAGAUAUUGGGAGGAACACCAGAGGCGAAGGCGGCUUACUGGACGAUUACUGACGUUGAGGCUCGAAAGCGUGGGGAGCAAACAGGAUUAGAUACCCUGGUA
rnacentral:rRNA from 1 species